rnacentral:lncRNA from 1 species
CAACCAGGAGUGUGGGGGGGCGGGGCUUGAGCAAGGAGUCACAGAACUGACCGAGGAAGACGAGAUAGACGUGAUGGGAGAGGAAACGGACUGGAACAACACACGUGUAUGCCUCCAAAUCUGAAGGUUAAAUAAGCUGGUGGUCAGGUGUGUUUGUUGGCCGCUGAGAGUGAUAGUUUGGACGGUUCGAUUUUGGAGCGAGCUCAGUCUGGAGCCGGCACAACGCAGACAUGGACCCAGAAAAGCACAGCAACUGGUGGCGGAACUACAAGUGGAAAUGAUGGCUGAUCGGUAAGACUGUACAAUCGGCUGCACGAAACACACGCCCAGGUCCCAGGGUCUGCUGCGGGUGUGGCCAGCCAGGCCAUCUGCGCCGGGAUUGCCCCAUGUCCCCCAGAGCUCAGGGAAACUGCUCAGGGUCCGCAUAGACCGGGGAGUGCGGACCCCUGGCUCUCUUUCCCAA